UUAAAAAAGUGUAUUUACACAGGCUUCUCAUAAAACAUUAGCUGGAAAUAUAUAACCAACCAUAUGUGUUACAUGUUCCCACAGUUGGCGCACGUGGGACAGUUUGAGAUGGCGUGUCUCAAGACUAACAUAAUACCUUUGUUGUUGCCUUUGUAUUGUAUCUUUAGUACACAGCACAUAUGACAUGCCUGAAAAUUGCUUUUGUAUGUACAUCAAGCCUACAUGGAAGUAAUCAGUAACAAAAUAACUACAGUUUUUUUGUAUAAAUGUGGACAACGCUCCUAGCUCUAAUGUGGUAUAAGAUAACAUCAAUUACGACGUUCACUGUAAAAAAGUUUCAAGCAUAUGAGGACCAGAAAUCUUGUCCAAAUUACGUUGUUCACUCUCUCAAUUUGAUUCCGUGUAAUCCCAUGGAGACACUUAUUUAGUAACUCAGAGUCAGACCAAUCUCUGAAAAUUUACUUUAUAAUGCCCAUGACAAUAUUUGGUAGGUAAUUACGCGCAUAUACACGCUUUGGUCGUUGGUAUGAUACUUGCACAUAUCAAUUCAGGAAGUGCACAUAGUCCGAAACACGGACUCCUUCGGCAACGUACAGCAUCAUUAGGUACUGCUAAUCAAGUGGUAAAAAAUUUGAUGAGGUAUGAACCGAUAGUAACACCUGUAAUAAUUUUUAAAUAUUGGUACCAUAUUUUUGGAGAACUGGUUGCUUUUACAGUACACAGUAAAUAAAACAUUAAUGGAGAUUUUUCAUUGCUAGUUUAAUCAGAAUUGGUUUUUAUGAAUCAUAAGAACACUUCCAUCAAUUAAUUCGGUUAAAGUCAACUACAAAGGUAAAAACAGAAAUCCUUUAACGUUCCCAGAUGCGCUAAUCUUGCACCAAUAGAAAACACCAUUCUAAAACAGGGGAAGCGGCCCUGGUUGUCCAGUUGGUUCAGGCCCUCCAGUUGGUUGUGGCCCUCCAGU